AGAGUUUGAUCAUGGCUCAGAUUGAACGCUGGCGGCAGGCCUAACACAUGCAAGUCGAGCGGUAACAGGGGAAGCUUGCUUCUCGCUGACGAGCGGCGGACGGGUGAGUAAUGUAUGGGGAUCUGCCCGAUAGAGGGGGAUAACUACUGGAAACGGUAGCUAAUACCGCAUAAUCUCUUAGGAGCAAAGCAGGGGAACUUCGGUCCUUGCGCUAUCGGAUGAACCCAUAUGGGAUUAGCUAGUAGGUGAGGUAAUGGCUCACCUAGGCGACGAUCCCUAGCUGGUCUGAGAGGAUGAUCAGCCACACUGGAACUGAGAUACGGUCCAGACUCCUACGGGAGGCAGCAGUGGGGAAUAUUGGACAAUGGGCGAAAGCCUGAUCCAGCCAUGCCGCAUGAGUGAAGAAGGCCUUUGGGUUGUAAAGCUCUUUUAGUGAGGAAGAUAAUGACGGUACUCACAGAAGAAGUCCUGGCUAACUCCGUGCCAGCAGCCGCGGUAAUACGGAGAGGGCUAGCGUUAUUCGGAAUUAUUGGGCGUAAAGGGCGCGUAGGCGGAUUAGUAAGUUAAAAGUGAAAUCCCAAGGCUCAACCUUGGAAUUGCUUUUAAAACUGCUAAUCUAGAGAUUGAAAGAGGAUAGAGGAAUUCCUAGUGUAGAGGUGAAAUUCGUAAAUAUUAGGAGGAACACCAGUGGCGAAGGCGUCUAUCUGGUUCAAAUCUGACGCUGAGGCGCGAAGGCGUGGGGAGCAAACAGGAUUAGAUACCCUGGUAGUCCACGCUGUAAACGAUGUCGAUUUGAAGGUUGUUCCCUUGAGGAGUGGCUUUCGGAGCUAACGCGUUAAAUCGACCGCCUGGGGAGUACGGCCGCAAGGUUAAAACUCAAAUGAAUUGACGGGGGCCCGCACAAGCGGUGGAGCAUGUGGUUUAAUUCGAUGCAACGCGAAGAACCUUACCUACUCUUGACAUCCAGAGAAUUUGCUAGAGAUAGCUUAGUGCCUUCGGGAACU
rnacentral:rRNA from 1 species